rnacentral:rRNA from 1 species
GAGUUUGAUCCUGGCUCAGGGUAAACGCUGGCGGCGUGCCUAAAACAUGCAAGUCGCACGAGAGCUUCGGCUCUAGUGGCAGACGGCUGAGUAACACGUGGAUGACCUGCCCAACUGUGGGGAAUAACUGCCCGAAAGGGUGGCUAAUACCGCAUGCGCUUACUGAUUCGAUUCAGUAAGGAAAGUCAGCGAUGUCGCAGCUGGAGGGGUCCGCGGCCGAUUAGCCAGUUGGUGGGGGUAACGGCCUACCAAAGCGACGAUCGGUAGCUGGU